rnacentral:rRNA from 1 species
UACGUAGGGUGCAAGCGUUAAUCGGAAUUACUGGGCGUAAAGCGUGCGCAGGCGGUUAUGUAAGACAGAUGUGAAAUGCCCGGGCUUAACCUGGGAACUGCAUUUGUGACUGCAUGGCUAGAGUUUGGCAGAGGGGGGUAGAAUUCCACGUGUAGCAGUGAAAUGCGUAGAUAUGUGGAGGAACACCGAUGGCGAAGGCAGCCCCCUGGGUCAAGACUGACGCUCAGGCACGAAAGCGUGGGGAGCAAACAGG